rnacentral:rRNA from 1 species
GUACACACCGCCCGUCACACCAUGGGAGUGGGCUGCACCAGAAGUAGAUAGCUUAACCUUCGGGAGGGCGUUUACCACGGUGUGGUUCAUGACUGGGGUGAAGUCGUAACAAGGUAGCCGUAGGUGAACCUGCAGAAGGAUCA